AAUGAACGCUGGCGGCGUGCCUAAUACAUGCAAGUCGAGCGAACACAUUCGGAUGUUGAUCCUUUAACGUUGACUAACGACUGGUAACUAGCCCUUGGGUAACCUACCUCUCCGACUGGCAUAACUUCAGGAAACAUGAGCCUCUUACCGGAUAAUAUUUCUAACCGCAUGAUCCGACCGCGACAGAUGGUUUUGCUGUCGAUGAUACAUGGCCCCGCGGCGAAUAACCUAGUUUGGACUGAAACGACUAUACCCCGCGACGAUACUGAGACAACCUCGAGAGUCUAUCGGCCGCACUGGAACUGAAACACUGUACCAUACUCCUACGGCAGGAUCCAGUCAUGCAAUCUUCCGCGAUGAGCGAACUCCUGUACGGAACCUCUCCUCGUGAGUGAUAAAAGGCUUCUGAUCGAAAAACUCUGUUCUUGAUGAAUACCGUACGUGUAACGUAACUGUGCACGUCUUGACUAGUACCUACUCAGAAUCCCUCGGCUAACUACGUGCCUACGCCCACGUUAAUACCUAGGUGGAAAGCGUUAUCCUCAAUUAUGGAAUUGCCUUCGAGACGUAGGCGGAUCUUUAAGUCUGAUGUGAAAGCCCACUGCUCAUGCGUGGAUGAUCUUUGGAUACUGGAAAUCUCGAGAGCGGAAGAGGAAAGUGGAAUUCCAUGUGUAGCGGUGAAAUUCGCAGAUAUAUGCAGGAACACCAGUGGCGAAGGCGACUUUCUGGUCCGGAUCUGACGCUGAUGUGCGAAAGCGUGGGGAUCAAACAGGAUUAGAUACCCUGGUAGUCCACGCCUGUAAACGAUGAGUGCUAAGUGUUAGGGAGUUUCCUCGCCAGAGGCCGACAGAACACGCAAAACCUACUCCGCGUGGAGAGCCGUCGCGCAAGUUUGAAUCUCAAAGGAAUUGGCGGGGACCCGCACAAGCGGGAGCGCAUGUGGUAUAAUUAGGAGCAGCGCGAAGCACCUCCACCAUUCUACACAUCCUGUGACAGCAUCAGAGAUAGAGUCUUCCCCUUCGGGGGACAAAGACACAGGUGGUGCAUGGUUGUCGUCAGCUCGUGUCGUGAGAUGUUGGGUUAAGUCCCGCAACGAGCGCAACCCUUAACCUUAGUUGCCAUCAUUCAGUUGGGCACUCUAAGGGGACUGCCGGUGACAAACCGGAAGAAGGGGGGGAAGACGUCCAAUUCUCCAGCCCCCUAUCAGGUGGGGUACCCCCCGGGUUCCAAGGGCGGUGCCAAGGGCCGGGAAACCGGGAGCUCGGGCAAAUUCCCAAAAGUCGUUCUCAGUUCGGAUUGCAGUCUGCAACUCGAGUACAUGAAGCUGGAAUCGCUAGUAAUCGUGGAUCAGCAUGCCACGGUGAAUACGUUCCCGGGUCU
rnacentral:rRNA from 1 species